CAGUUUAUCUUGUAGUGCCCUUGAUGAAUGAGAACAGUAGCGUUCUAGCGGAUUUACCCCUUAUUUAUAUGGAAGUAUAAGAGCUCAGCGCAAUGAGAGUCCCCAUGGAGAUACACGGGUUCAAGAUCUGUCCCAGCAAUAGCAGGCGACGACAGAGGGCUCUGUUUCAAUAUGUUUUGUACAGGAAAUCACAGCUUUGGUGUGCUGAAGCUGGAACUGGUCCUCUGAAGACAGUCUCUGCGAUGAAGCUGAGUCCUCUCUCUCUCCCAGGCCGUAGUGUCUACCUCUAAUUUAUUCCUGAUGAAUGACAGCAAGUUCACAG